GCAUGAUAAUGGCUGUAAUGGAUCCUGGUCAGCGGCCCGCAUGCAAAUAAAUCUGCGGCCCGAUGCAAUGAUGUGUGGAAAAUGGCAGUCACCCCUUGCCGCACCGGCCGGCCCCGCGGUCUCGGGCGCCUCUACACGGCAACCAGCAAUAAAACAAAUUACCUAACAUUUUAUACCUAGUGUGAAAAUGGAAAGUAUGGAGUGGUGACGUCACUGGCUGCCGACCUUGCCACUGGAAAAAUGUGCCGCGUCGGUCGGUGAAGCUGCUGGCUCAUCAGUACGGCGCCGGGCGUCGCACCCGCGUCCAACACAACACACUUCUAACAACGAAGGUGAUACCUGCUCCAGGGUUUUAGUGGAACUUGUGAUGACAACAUUAAUGAUGAUCUUAUUAAUUUUUGGUGACGACGGUAGUUACGUUAAUGUACGCGUAGGUAUUGUUUUCUCUUUUCGUGUCUGAAAUAGAGUUCUGAAUGUACAUGUAAAGAGUCCAUAACUAAAGACGUUUAAACGAAAGACGUAGAUGUACCUUUGUGAUGGGUAAUUAUGUAGCUCAAUAAAGAAAACAAAUGCGAAAA